rnacentral:tRNA from 1 species
GGUGUGUUGGCUCAGUCAGUAGAGCGUCCGCCUCACAACCGGGAGGUCGUGAGGGGUCACACACCG